rnacentral:rRNA from 1 species
GACGAACGCUGGCGGCGUGCUUAACACAUGCAAGUCGAACGGAAAGGCCCUGCUUUUGUGGGGUGCUCGAGUGGCGAACGGGUGAGUAACACGUGAGUAACCUGCCCUUGACUUUGGGAUAACUUCAGGAAACUGGGGCUAAUACCGGAUAGGAGCUCCUGCUGCAUGGUGGGGGUUGGAAAGUUUCGGCGGUUGGGGAUGGACUCGCGGCUUAUCAGCUUGUUGGUGGGGUGGUGGCUUACCAAGGCUUUGACGGGUAGCCGGCCUGAGAGGGUGUCCGGCCACAUUGGGACUGAGAUACGGCCCAGACUCCUACGGGAGGCAGCAGUGGGGAAUAUUGCACAAUGGGCGGAAGCCUGAUGCAGCAACGCCGCGUGCGGGAUGACGGCCUUCGGGUUGUAAACCGCUUUCGCCUGUGACGAAGCGUGAGUGACGGUAAUGGGUAAAGAAGCACCGGCUAACUACGUG